rnacentral:tRNA from 2 species
CGCGGGGUGGAGCAGUCUGGUCAGCUCAUCGGGCUCAUAACCCGAAGGUCGUAGGUUCGAAUCCUACCCCCGCUACCA